rnacentral:rRNA from 1 species
GACGUAGGGCGCGAGCGUUGUCCGGAUUUAUUGGGCGUAAAGAGCUCGUAGGCGGCCUGUCGCGUCGGAUGUGAAAGCCCGGGGCUUAACCCCGGGUCUGCAUUCGAUACGGGCAGGCUAGAGUGUGGUAGGGGAGAUCGGAAUUCCUGGUGUAGCGGUGAAAUGCGCAGAUAUCAGGAGGAACACCGGUGGCGAAGGCGGAUCUCUGGGCCAUUACUGACGCUGAGGCACGAAAGCGUGGGGAGCAAACAGG